AGCAGCCGCGGUAAUUCCAGCUCCAAUAGCGUAUAUUAAAGUUGCUGCAGUUAAAAAGCUCGUAGUUGAAUUUCGGGACCAUCAUGUCGGUCGUGCCUCGGUACGUACUGGCAUUGUUGGUUUCUCCCUUCUGACGAACCAUGAUGUCAUUUAUUUGGUGUUGUGGGAAAUCAGGACUGUUACUUUGAAAAAAUUAGAGUGUUUAAAGCAGGCUCACGCUUGAAUACAUUAGCAUGGAAUAAUGAAAUAGGACGUUUGAUUCUAUUUUGUUGGUUUCUAGGAUCGACGUAAUGAUUAAUAGGGAUAGUUGGGGGCAUUAGUAUUCAAUUGUCAGAGGUGAAAUUCUUGGAUUUAUUGAAGACUAACUACUGCGAAAGCAUUUGCCAAGGAUGUUUUCAUUAAUCAAGAACGAAAGUUAGGGGAUCGAAGACGAUCAGAUACCGUCGUAGU
rnacentral:rRNA from 1 species